CUUGGGAGCCAGUGAUGUUUUAUCUUACUGUCUGAACCUGUCUGAAGCAUCCUAGUGAUGCAAGCUGUGUGUGCUGGGGCCUCUCUGCUA